AAUCCAGGUCCGAAUUGUCACCUGCGUUGGUGUGCGUUCCGCAAAGCGGAUAGGACCUGGAUUUUUU
rnacentral:sRNA from 12 species